rnacentral:miRNA from 1 species
UCAAGUGACAAGGAAGAUCUU